ACCUACUUACAGCCACCGAGCGCCAGAAGGCCCAUCUCCUGGGGAAUGGAAAAGUGCCCAGCCGCUGGGAGGCCUCAAGCUGGAGAGCUACGGGGGAAGCCGGGCAGGUGUGGGGCUGGGAGAAGCUACUAAGCCCCACACCCCAGGUGCUCUGGGGCCUCACAGCCCAGCUGCAGGGAGAUGGAACACUGUGAGCAGCUGUUCUUCUUCCUGGCCAUUUGGUUCAUCUACUUCUUUUCUGAUGCCAACCUCUCUUCCACCUACUCAGGGGCUGGAAGGGCGACUGGAGAGCCAAGCCUCUGCGAGUGAGGACAGAGAAUGGCCAAAGGCAGAGCCACAGGGUAGACCUUUGCACCUUGGGAGGAGAGAUUUGGAGAAUGGUGCUGCCUGGGCCCCUUUGCCCCCACCAAACCGCAGGGGUACCAUGGCCCUGACCUGCGUUCAGAGGGCCGAGUCAAUGUCACAGGAAGGGGAAGAGACAUGUGCCCGCAGACCCUGUGGUCAUGGAGGGGGUGGAAGAUCUCUGGAGGGCAGCAGGGCCACAGCAAGGCUCUGAGGUCCUGAGUCUUCUCUGUCCGUGGACUUAAACUCUGCGUGUUUACAGCUAUUCUGUGCCUGGGUCCAGGCUCUAGUGAGAAAUAAACUGCCUUCGGAGCCAGGUCGUUGACAGGAAUGACAGCCUGGCAAGCUGCAGUGACUGCACACAGCUACCCUGUGAGCUCCACUUGUGUGGGUGCAGGUGGGUGACAGGAGUGUGUGACACAGACAGGCACUCCACCAGGAGGAAACCCACAGCAGACGUCAACCAUCGCUUUAUUAAGGCUGCGAGUCGGGGGGCUGAGUCAUGCACUCCACAGACACCCCCACUGCUCCCAAGGUCCACUUUUGGAUGACCCUGAAGGCAGAGACUCCUGAGAUCUGGGCCACAAUCUAGGGAGGCACAUUCGGGGCCCGGGAUGCUCCCAGGCUGCUCUGGUAUAUCAGGAAGGAAAACAGGCCAGGGUUAGGAAAGCUGCUCCAUGGUCCAGGCUGCUCUGAGGGGCAGAGCCUUCCCACCGUGCUGCUGCAGCAUCUGGCUUCAUCCCUCCCGAGUCCAUCCCAGUCUGAUCAGGUGGCCAAGGCUGGAGCAAGGCACAGCUCACUCUGACAAGAUAAACUGCAAGAAAUGUGAGAGGCGACAAGAGAAGGAAAAGGCAGAAUGCCCUUAUCUGGAGACCUGGCUUAGACCACACCCAUUCCAUGAAGCCACCCCGGAUUGCCCCUUUCCUGUGCUUUCAGAGCCCACUAGCCCUUCUCAGCCUCCAAGAUGACAACAGCAAUUCUGAACCACUUAGAGGCAAUUCACCCUUCAAGAGGUCAAUUUCCCUUUUCUCUGGCUGAUGUGUUCCCCACUAUCUUUUCUGUACUACAUGAGGGGCUCCUGGCAAAUGGCUUCCUGAAGACAUCAAAGAUGAGUACCAAGUGCCAAAGCCUGACAAGCAAGACCCAAGGAGACCUGAGUUGUCAACUGAUGUACCAGACAGGGCUGUUGCUGCAGAAAACUCCAUAAAAGUUCCAAGGGUGCCAGAAUGAUUUUCUGAAAUGCCUGCCUAACUCUGCUGUCAGCCACUUUCUUCCAGAGCCCAUAGCACAUCAUCAUUUAGUUGAUCAAAGAACAGCAGGGCAGGGCAGUGGCUCUGUUCCAGUAGCCCAGCUACACAGGCUUCUCUAGAUGGCAGGAACAUAUGUAUGAAUUUCUGGUGAAUCAGAGCAGAAUUCUCUCACACUAAAUUUUUAUACACUUGGUUCUUU
rnacentral:antisense_RNA from 1 species